rnacentral:misc_RNA from 1 species
GCGCGUAAACAUUGAUAGAUUUCGGCAUUUCUUCAGCUUCGUGCUCAUCGUCCUUCCUCUCUCCGCCUUCUGUUUCUCCGAAUCUCCGCUGCUGACGCAGCUUGGGAAAAAUUGGUAAAUGGAGAAAAUUUUUCCUACACUAUUCUAAUCUAUGUCCUUGCCCACCUUGUAGUGGCCGACUCUCAAUGGUAUUGUUUGUGCUGAGGAGAUCUGCGUCGCCCUUUCUUUGUAUGUCCUUGGCACCUCCA